rnacentral:sRNA from 1 species
GAGAGAGAUCCAUGAUCAGAGAUUGGAGGUCA